GACGAACGCUGGCGGCGUGCCUAAUACAUGCAAGUCGAACGCAGUGGGGACGGGUGAGUAACACGUGGGUAACCUCCCAUCAGAGGGGAUAACACUUGGAAACAGGUGCUAAACCGCUACUGAUGGAUGGACCUGCGGUGCAUUAGCUGGUUGGUGGGGUAACGGCUCACCAAGGCCACGAUGCCUAGCCGGCCUGAGAGGGUGAUCAGCCACACUGGGACUGAGACACGGCCCAGACUCCUACGGUAGGCAGCAGUAGGGAAUCUUCCGCAAUGGACGAAAGUCUGACCGAGCAACGCCGCGUGAAUGAAGAAGGCUUUCGGGUCGUAAAGCUCUGUUGGUAGAGAAGCGGUAUCUAACCAGAAAGCCACGGCUAACUACGUGCCAGCAGCCGCGGUAAUUC
rnacentral:rRNA from 1 species